AGUAGACCAGACUGUUGAAGUGCAUCCCACCUCCAACCCGAGAGAAUUCAGAUUCAGCAUGGAGGCCUUCAAGUUCAUCGGCUUGAAUGACCAGGUGUACAUCAGCUGUUCAGUCCUGAUGUGUGAGGCAGGGAGCCACGGCACCAGGUGCUCGCAGGGAUGCAUCAACACUCCCUCAUUGCCAACCGGUCUUCACCACCACCGAAAGAGAGAGGCUCACGCUCAGAGUUCAAGGCACUUUGUUUCCCAGGGUCCCCUGCGUUUAAAGAGAUCAGCAGAAAGCACCGGGAGCGCAGCGGUCAACCUGAAUCUGAACCUGGUAUUCAUCGCUGGAUGUCUUCUUGCAGCUGUCGGCAUGAUCAGUGCAGUGGUUCUGUACAAAGUCAGAAUGUCAAAGGUGAAAUACCAACCGUUACCCACAGAUGAACGUUAAGAAAGCGGCAUGUGCAGAAUACAAUUUUAGUAUUAACGACAUUUAACAACAAGCUUUUUUAAAUUGGUUUUGCUAUCAGAUAUUGGGUGUUCAUGUUUCUUAUGUGCAAAUUUAAAUAAAACAUUUAAUGUCAACACUUUUAGAAAUACUUAAGUGAAGAAGAAUCUGUACCUGUGCAAAUAGGAAGUUUUAUAUGAAUCAACACUGAGGAUGUUCAAGCACUGCAGCUGCUGAUUGUUUACUUGUGAAGUUUACUGUUUACCCCGAGAUCCCAUGUGCCUUUACAGAUGCUUCUGCUAUUAUGUAUUGCAUGACAAAAGGAUUGACCUAACUGAUGAUACACGUGCUUAAUGAUCAAUAAAAACAUAUAUUCUCUUACAUAUCUUUUUGUUUUUGUCCACUUUAU
rnacentral:lncRNA from 1 species